UCGGGAAUAUUGCGCAAUGGAGGAAACUCUGACGCAGUGACGCCGCGUGCAGGAAGAAGGUUUUCGGAUUGUAAACUGCUUUAGACAGGGAAGAAAAAAGACAGUACCUGUAGAAUAAGCUCCGGCUAACUACGUGCCAGCAGCCGCGGUAAUACGUAGGGAGCAAGCGUUAUCCGGAUUUAUUGGGUGUAAAGGGUGCGUAGACGGGGAAAUAAGUUAGUUGUGAAAUCCCUCGGCUUAACUGAGGAACUGCAACUAAAACUGUAACUCUUGAGUGCUGGAGAGGAAAGUGGAAUUCCUAGUGUAGCGGUGAAAUGCGUAGAUAUUAGGAGGAACACCAGUGGCGAAGGCGACUUUCUGGACAGUAACUGACGUUGAGGCACGAAAGUGUGGGGAGCAAACA
rnacentral:rRNA from 1 species